CGAAAGCCUGACGGAGCAAGACCGCGUGGGGGAAGAAGGCUCUUGGGUUGUAAACCCCUUUUCUCUGGGAAGAAAGUUGUGGAAGCAACCUGACGGUACCAGAGGAAUCAGCAUCGGCUAACUCCGUGCCAGCAGCCGCGGUAAGACGGAGGAUGCAAGCGUUAUCCGGAAUGAUUGGGCGUAAAGCGUCCGCAGGUGGCAGUUCAAGUCUGNUGUCAAAGACCGGGGCUUAACUUCGGAAAGGCAGUGGAAACUGAACAGCUAGAGUAUGGUAGGGGCAGAGGGAAUUCCUGGUGUAGCGGUGAAAUGCGUAGAGAUCAGGAAGAACAUCGGUGGCGAAGGCGCUCUGCUGGACCAUAACUGACACUCAGGGACGAAAGCUAGGGGAGCG
rnacentral:rRNA from 1 species